rnacentral:rRNA from 1 species
CUCCCUCGUGNGUUCUCAGACAUCCUACGGGAGGCAGCAGUGGGGAAUAUUGGACAAUGGGCGAAAGCCUGAUCCAGCCAUGCCGCGUGUGUGAAGAAGGCCUUUUGGUUGUAAAGCACUUUAAGCGAGGAGGAGGCUACUUAGAUUAAUACUCUAGGAUAGUGGACGUUACUCGCAGAAUAAGCACCGGCUAACUCUGUGCCAGCAGCCGCGGU